CCAUCUGUUUCUUUUUACCAUUUUUAUAGAAGAGAUGGUCCUAAAAUCCAAAUCCGAUUCCAAUUCGUCUUUAUCCCUUUCAUCAAUUCAAGGGUCGGAAUCCGAUCUAAUCCAACGUUUCUUCAUUACAUCGUUCACUCGUUGAGAUUCUGAACUUCACAUAGACGGAAAAAAGAGCAGAAAUAUUUGUGGGAUUAAUUUGCUUUCCUCAUGCGCCCCUGCAUCUCCAAAUUUUUCCAAUGGCAUCGCGGUUGCAGAAAUUUGAGCUCGGCUAAGAUUCUGCAUAGAAUCAGGGACACUCAACAUUUGAGAAUUGGCCACAUAAAUGUAUCCACAUCGAAGAUGUUCUCAACUUCAUGUGGAACGUUGUCAGAAGAUGCAAUUAAAGAUAAUCCUGUCUCUGAUAUGCUAAUUGAUUCAUUCGGGAGGCAACAUACUUACUUGAGGAUCUCAUUAACAGAACGUUGUAAUUUAAGAUGCCAAUACUGUAUGCCAGCUGAGGGUGCAGAGCUUACUCCUAGCCCGGAACUUCUCUCGACGAAUGAGAUUGUUCGUUUAGCUAAUUUGUUUGUAAGUUCAGGUGUAGAAAAAAUUCGUUUGACUGGUGGGGAGCCAACUGUUAGGAAGGAUAUUGAAGAAAUAUGUUUACAGUUGUCAAAUUUAAAUGGAUUGAAGACCCUGGCCAUGACUACAAAUGGAAUUAUUUUGGAAAGAAAGCUUCCAUCUUUAAAAGAAUGUGGCCUUAGUUUGUUGAACAUAAGUUUAGACACACUGGUUCCUGCAAAAUUUGAAUUUAUGACCAGACGCAAAGGACAUGAAAGGGUAAUGAAGUCCAUUGAUGCGGCAAUAGAAUUGGGAUAUAAUCCUGUCAAACUGAAUUGUGUCGUAAUGCGGGGAUUCAAUGAUGAUGAAAUUUGUGAUUUUGUCGAGUUAACACGUGAGAAGCCAAUCAAUGUCCGUUUUAUUGAGUUUAUGCCUUUUGAUGGAAAUGUCUGGAAUGUGAAGAAACUCGUAUCGUACUCUGAAAUGUUGGAUAGAGUGGUAAGGCGAAACGGUUUACAGGGCUUCAAAGGAUUCGGGACCAUCCUUCAGAGACAGCCAAGAAUUUUAGAAUUAAUGGCCACCAGGGUACAGUUUCUUUUAUCACAUCAAUGACUGAGAACUUUUGUGCUGGUUGCAAUAGAUUGAGACUCUUAGCGGACGGAAAUUUUAAAGUUUGCCUUUUUGGACCCUCAGAGGUUAGCUUGAGGGAUCCUCUGCGUCAUGGUGUUGAUGAUAAAGAACUCAAGGAGAUUAUUGGGGCAGCGGUGAAAAGGAAGAAAGCUGCUCAUGCUGGGAUGUUUGACAUUGCAAAGACACCAAACAGACCGAUGAUACAUAUUGGUGGCUAGGACUCAUCUUUAGUUCAAUAGCAUUUUGUGUUGAACACAUCACUUGGUCAUGCCUAAGGGGUUAUUUGACAAAGCUUUUGAUAAAAAAAAUUUGUAGAUUUUGAUAGAAGUUGAGGUAAUAUGUGGUUGAAAGUUGAUAAAAGGUGUGGGCACAUGAAAUUUGCAGUUGAAGUUGAAGUUUUACCAGUUAAAAAGUUAGAAAAAUUUAAGAAAAAUUUAUCACCUAGGCACUAUUACUAUUUAUUGAUCUCACAUUCUCUUGACCUGAUCUGAAGAAUACAAAACAGGCAGAAAAGGGAGUAUGGGAAGAAAAUAAGGAAAUAGCAAAGGAAUGAGGUCAUACUUCCAUGUUAACUUUUUGAGUUUGUAAAUAAGAAGGCUGAUAGUAGUGAGAAACAGCUCAUCCAUUUGUUAGCUAUGCAUGUAAUGGCACUUUUGAAUAGUCAUUGAUACAGGUUUUGUUGUGCUACUUGAAUUUAUACAGUUCUCUUCAGUAAUAGGUGAUGCUUACCCAAGUACUCGAAAGAAAUUCAUAGAGCAUGUCAAGAUUUGUUUCAUAAUAAAUUGAUCCUCCAUAUUCUUUGGUGUUU